rnacentral:rRNA from 1 species
GACGAACGCUGGCGGCGUGCUUAACACAUGCAAGUCGAACGGUAAGGCCCUUCGGGGUACACGAGUGGCGAACGGGUGAGUAACACGUGGGUGAUCUGCCCUGCACUUCGGGAUAAGCCUGGGAAACUGGGUCUAAUACCGGAUAGGACCACUGCCUGCAUGGGUGGGGGUGGAAAGCUUUUGCGGUGUGGGAUGGGCCCGCGGCCUAUCAGCUUGUUGGUGGGGUGAUGGCCUACCAAGGCGACGACGGGUAGCCGGCCUGAGAGGGUGACCGGCCACACUGGGACUGAGAUACGGCCCAGAGUCCUACGGGGGGCAGCAGUGGGGAAUAUUGCUCGAUGGGCGCAAGCCUGAUGCAGCGACGCCGCGUGAGGGAUGACGGCCUUCGGGUUGUAAACCUCUUUCAGCACCGACGAAGCGCAAGUGACGGUAGGUGCAGAAGAAGGACCGGCCAACUACGUGCCAGCCGCCGCAGUAA